GAGACACGGCCCAGACUCCUACGGGAGGCAGCAGUGGGGAAUUUUGGACAAUGGGCGCAAGCCUGAUCCAGCAAUGCCGCGUGAGUGAAGAAGGCCUUCGGGUUGUAAAGCUCUUUUGUCAGGGAAGAAACGGUGGAGGUUAAUACCUUCUGCUAAUGACGGUACCUGAAGAAUAAGCACCGGCUAACUACGUGCCAGCAGCCGCGGUAAUACGUAGGGUGCAAGCGUUAAUCGGAAUUACUGGGCGUAAAGCGUGCGCAGGCGGUUGUGCAAGACAGAUGUGAAAUCCCCGGGCUCAACCUGGGAAUUGCAUUUGUGACUGUACGGCUAGAGUGUGUCAGAGGGGGGUAGAAUUCCACGUGUAGCAGUGAAAUGCGUAGAGAUGUGGAGGAAUACCGAUGGCGAAGGCAGCCCCCUGGGAUAACACUGACGCUCAUGCACGAAAGCGUGGGGAGCAAACAGGAUUAGAUACCCUGGUAGUCCACGCCCUAAACGAUGUCUACUAGUUGUCGGGUCUUUAUUGACUUGGUAACGCAGCUAACGCGUGAAGUAGACCGCCUGGGGAGUACGGUCGCAAGAUUAAAACUCAAAGGAAUUGAC
rnacentral:rRNA from 1 species